rnacentral:rRNA from 1 species
UAAUACGUAGGGUGCAAGCGUUAAUCGGAAUUACUGGGCGUAAAGCGUACGCAGGCGGCUUUGCAAGACAGGUGUGAAAUCCCCGGGCCUAACCUGGGAACUGCAUUUGUGACUGCAUGGCUAGAGUUUGUCAGAGGGGGGUGGAAUUCCACGUGUAGCAGUGAAAUGCGUAGAUAUGUGGAGGAACACCGAUGGCGAAGGCAGCCCCCUGGGAUGUGACUGACGCUCAUGUACGAAAGCGUGGGGAGCAAACAGGAUUAGAUACCCUGGUAGUCCACGCCCUAAACGAUGUCGACUAGUUGUCGGAGGGUAACUCCUUCGGUAACGCAGCUAACGCGUGAAGUCGACCGCCUGGGGAGUACGGUCGCAAGAUUA